CGUGCUCGAUUUUGUGUGUGUGUGAGAGAGAGAGAGAGAGAGAACUAAUUUCUUUGAAUAAAUAUUUUUUUCCAAGUGUUCUCUAAAAAUUUUCAGAGGUUGACAUACUUUGUGAAGAAGCGGUACUAACGUAAGAUAUAAUCUCCGAGCGGAUGAAAAGAAUCGAGAUAGUUGACGAGAAUUAAGUUCUAUUCGUCUUACGAAACAAGUUAGAUUAGUUUGUGUUCACGAGUCGAACACGUUUUGGAGGCUCAUGCGUUUUUAACUUAUAAGCAUUAAUGUUAAUCAUUUUCUCUUUGAAGAUGUCUCUAAGAGACCAGGAAAGGGAGACGCAACAAGGAAUCUUCCAAUUUUAUGACAGAUGAUGAAAACGUAAUGUGAAAAAGUAACAUGAAAAGGUAUUUCUAUUAUAAAAAAAAUGUGCAUUUUGUACAUAUAUAAAAUUUGUAAAAGAAGAUUAAAAAGAGAGAAAAACAUAUAUAUACAGCGAGCUGUAUAUUACAUUUAUGUCUGCUGAGUGUCAGAGAAACAAAAUGUACAGCUUAUCGAGUAUUAUUUCUGAACCAAAAAUUAUUUCUAUCACAGGUAGUUUACAACUGCUUGAAUUUAGAUUAAUGCCUCUUUGUCUUAAUAUAACUUUAAUCAAAUACAUUCACUUUUUUGUAUAUUAUAAAUAUCUGUUUAUAAAGAUAAAAAAUUGACAAUAUUACAAAAUCUAAAAAUAUUAAGUAUGAUAAAGCUUUCUACAAAGUUACCGUAUUUUAAAAAA